rnacentral:lncRNA from 1 species
CCAUGACCAUGAAUUUUAGGACUCAGUCUCAUGAAUUGCAUAGGACUUCUCUCUGUCUAUCAAGAUCGAUAGAUCUUAUCUUUAUACACAUCCUAUUCCUACAAUGGACCUACUAUAGCCAAUAUACACCUCAAGAUUCUAAAUGACUAGGUAACUAAGUGUUGGUAUGAUCAAACUACAGUAAUCCCACUAUGAACAACCAAGGCACCAUAAGUCAAAGGACUAUCUAUAUAACUGUAACUUUAAGCAAGUCACCGACGAGUAGAUAGCCAUCCUAGUGACUUCUC